AAUAGAUACCCGGGUAGUCCACGCCGUAAACGAUGAGUGCUAAGUGUUAGAGGGUUUCCGCCCUUUAGUGCUGCAGCUAACGCAUUAAGCACUCCGCCUGGGGAGUACGGCCGCAAGGCUGAAACUCAAAGGAAUUGACGGGGGCCCGCACAAGCGGUGGAGCAUGUGGUUUAAUUCGAAGCAACGCGAAGAACCUUACCAGGUCUUGACAUCCUCUGCCAACCCUAGAGAUAGGGCGUUCCCCUUCGGGGGACAGAGUGACAGGUGGUGCAUGGUUGCCGUCAGCUCGUGUCGUGAGAUGUUGGGUUAAGUCCCGCAACGAGCGCAACCCUUGAUCUUAGUUGCCAGCAUUCAGUUGGGCACUCUAAGGUGACUGCCGGUGACAAACCGGAGGAAGGUGGGGAUGACGUCAAAUCAUCAUGCCCCUUAUGACCUGGGCUACACACGUGCUACAAUGGAUGGUACAAAGAGCUGCGAACCCGCGAGGGUAAGCCAAUCUCAUAAAGCCAUUCUCAGUUCGGA
rnacentral:rRNA from 1 species